rnacentral:rRNA from 1 species
AGCGAACGCUGGCGGCAGGCCUAACACAUGCAAGUCGAACGACCUCAUCGGAGUUAGUGGCGGACGGGGGAGGAGCGCGUCGGAACGGGGCUUUAGGCUCGGGAUACUACAGGGAAACGUGGGCUAAUGCCGAAAAUGUCCCUCUGGGGACAGAUUUAUCGCCGUUAUGAGGGCGCGUGUCUGUUUAGCUAGUUGGUGAGGUAAAGGCGGACGAAGGGGACGAUCAGUAGCGGGGCUGAGAGGAUGAGCAGCCACAUUGGGACUGAGACACGGCCCAAACUCCUACGGGAGGCAGCAGUGGGGAAUCUUGCGCAAUGGGCGAAAGCCUGACGCAGCCAUGCCGCGUGAAUGAUGAAGGUCUUAGGAGUGUAAAAUUCUUUCAACGGGGACGAUAAUGACGGUACCCGAAGAAGAAGCCCCGGCUAACUUCGUG